rnacentral:rRNA from 1 species
UACGUAGGGUGCGAGCGUUGUCCGGAAUUAUUGGGCGUAAAGGGCUCGUAGGCGGUUUGUCGCGUCGGGAGUGAAAACACUGGGCUUAACCGAGUGCUUGCUUUCGAUACGGGCAGACUAGAGGUAUGCAGGGGAGAACGGAAUUCCUGGUGUAGCGGUGAAAUGCGCAGAUAUCGGGAGGAACACCAAUGGCGAAGGCAGCUCGCUGGGACGUUACUGACACUGAGAGACGAAAGCUAGGGGAGCGAAUGGG